AAUUAAAUAAUAAUAAUACCUUUUGAAAUAAAAUAUCAUUUUUAGUUAUGCAUUAUUGUUUCUGUGAAUGUGUAUCUCUCGGAAAUUUUUAUAAGCUAAGUUUAUGAUAGGAAACUAAUUAAGGGAGAAAAUGAUAUUAAAAUUCUAAUAUAGAAAGUAUGAGAUUUUAACACGUGGUUUCUCAGUAGUACAGGCAAAAUGGUUAAAAUUUUGUGACUUUCCAAAGUCCACAUUUUUUCAUUGUAGAAGCUUUUGUUACGUUAUAACACCUAUUGCAUCAAGGUUGUUGUUAGUUACUAAUCUUCACUCAAUAAAUUUAAAUUAUUUAGGUGAAUUUUUUUUUUAAUUAAAUUAGAGCAUUUUCGAUGAAAGCUCUGUCUAUUUAUAACCUUCUUGUGAAUUGAUUCAUAAUUUCAUAUCAAGACAAGCGAGCGAAAAUAAUAAAAACAUACUAAUACGUACGUAGAGAGUCGACAUAUGACCUAAUGGACCUGGUCCAGUCGAUUUAAUUUCCCACCUUCCCUCUAUCCUUUGUAAGUUGUAACACGUCCAAGGAAGCUAUUAUUUAUUUCAGUUUCGGUAUAUAUCUUCUUUAUAUACAUGUCUCGAACAACUUGACAACGAGCAACUACAAGUUAAUUUUCGGACAGGCCAGAAAUGGAGAAACGCCGGUGGAAUCAGAGAAAGACGAACUAUGCGUCUUGUUCCGAAGAGGUGACUAGCAUCGAGUGGAAAGCUGUGACUAUGUCAAAAGAAGAAGAAGAUCUCAUUUUUCGGAUGUAUAAACUUGUUGGUGACAGGUGGUCGUUGAUAGCCGGCAGGAUCCCGGGGCGUACGCCGGAGGUGAUAGAGAGGUACUGGCUUAUGAAACACGGCUUCUUUUUUGCAAAUUGAUGAAGACAGCUUGUUGUUUAGUUAAUAACGAUCAGUGAAGUUUGUUGUGUUUCUAUAUCUUCCAAGGAAGACAAAAACAAAAACAUUCGUAUUUCUUGUUUAACCGAUCGUGUUUUUUCCUGAAGUAUAAUUAAAAUUGUAGUUGAAAAUUGUUUAUUAUGACGCAAUUUAUGUUUCAGAAGAACUCAGACGUACGUAUUAUAUAAAUGAUUAUGAAGAAUAUUUCACAAAACGAAGUUUUAUUUCAAAACCACAACUUUUAGGUUUCAAAACCACUAAUUCGUUUGAUUUUUUUUUUCUGUCUUCUGAUAUGUUGGAAUUUUAGGGUUUGUGUGGUAAAAGACAUUUACUGGUAAUAGCGAAAUUUUAAGCUUUCGAUUUUGAAGUUCUAGUUCUCUACUUCCUUUUUUAUUUUAUUUUUAAACACAAAUACAAAUUACCAAAAAUAAAUCUGCAGUUGAAUUCAUUUUAAGGAAACAGAGACUUCAAAAGAAAAAGAAAAAAAAAGAUCGAGAUUUAAAAACUUGCUUUUUCAGGCCCAAUAAUUAGCAAAUUUAUACAGUACUGUUUGCAUUUUGCAUCAAUAAAAUUCAUGUCAUCCUGUCUUUCAGCUCUGUGUCUUAUCUUCUUUUAGGUUAAUGUAAUUAAUUGUCUUACUCCGAACAAGUGAAACUAAAC